rnacentral:sRNA from 1 species
UCCUAGCCCUGAUUGAGGCGAUAUCCUUUUGUGGCGGGGUUCGCCAUAAAAGAUAUAGCCGAAAGCAGGAAUCCAU